GAUCAUGGCUCAGGAUGAACGCUGGCGGCGUGCCUAACACAUUCAAGUCGAACGGAGUCUUAGAGAUAAAUCCUUCGGGAAGCGUUUUUAAGACUUAGUGGCGGACGGGCGAGUAACGCGUGAGCAACCUGCCUCUGUGAGGGGAAUAACGUCUGGAAACGGACGCUAAUACCGCAUAAAGCAUCGAGACCGCAUGAUCAUGAUGUCAAAGAUUUAUCGCACAGAGAUGGG
rnacentral:rRNA from 1 species